AUUGAACGCUGGCGGCAGGCCUAACACAUGCAAGUCGAACGAGUGGCGGACGGGUGAGUAAUGUCUGGGAAACUGCCCGAUGGAGGGGGGUAACUACUGGAAACGGUAGCUAAUACCGCAUACCAUCGGAUGUGCCCAGAUGGGAUUAGCUAGUAGGUGGGGUAACGGCUCACCUAGGGGACGAUCCCUAGCUGGUCUGAGAGGAUGACCAGCCAAACUGGAAUGGGGACACGGUCCAGACUCCUAGGGGAGGAAGCAGUGGGGAAUAUUGAACAAGGGGGGCAAGCCUGAUGCAGCCAUGCCGGGUGUAUGAAGAAGGCCUUAGGGUUGUAAAGUACUUUCAGCGAGGAGGCGUUACUCGCAGAAGAAGCACCGGCUAAUUCCGUGCCAGCAGCCGGGUAAUAC
rnacentral:rRNA from 1 species